rnacentral:rRNA from 1 species
GUGAGGAAUAUUGCGCAAUGGAGGCAACUCUGACGCAGCCAUGCCGCGUGCAGGAAGAAGGCGCUACGCGUUGUAAACUGCUUUUAACCGGGAAGAAACCCCAGGACGUGUCCUGGGUUGACGGUACCGGAGGAAUAAGCACCGGCUAACUUCGUGCCAGCAGCCGCGGUAAUACGAAGGGUGCAAGCGUUAUCCGGAUUCAUUGGGUUUAAAGGGUGCGUAGGCGGAGCUUUAAGUCAGUGGUGAAAUCCUGCAGCUUAACUGUAGACUUGCCAUUGAUACUGGCGCUCUUGAGUGCGCUUGAAGUGGGCGGAAUGUGCCGUGUAGCGGUGAAAUGCUUAGAUAUGGCACAGAACACCAAUUGCGAAGGCAGCUCACUAAGGCGAUACUGACGCUGAGGCACGAAAGCGUGGGGAUCGAACAGGAUUAGAUACCCGAGUAGUCC